CAGUCGCCGCGGUAACACAGAGGAUGCAAGCGUUAUCCGGAAUGAUUGGGCGUAAGGCGUCUGUAGGUGGCUUUUCAAGUCCGCCGUCAAAUCCCAGGGCUCAACCCUGGACAGGCGGUGGAAACUACCAAGCUGGAGUACGGUAGGGGCAGAGGGAAUCUCCGGUGGAGCGGUGAAAUGCGUUGAGAUCGGAAAGAACUCCAACGGCGAAAGCACUCUGCUGGGCCGACACUGACACUGAGAGACGAAAGCUAGGGGAGCAAAUGGGAUUAGAUACCCGCGUAGUCCCUGUCUCUUAUAC
rnacentral:rRNA from 1 species